CCCCAAUAUCUGGCUGAUCUUUGGAGCAUUGUGGUUCUUGAGUUAUUCUGAGUAUUUUUGCAAAUAAUUUUGCUCACCUGGGUGUUUGGGGAGGGGAUUUCUGUUUGCAUGUUUGCGUUUGAGGUUAUUUAAACCAUCUGUGGGCAAUGACCACAACAGGCCAGGGACACCACUGGUCCCAGUUUAACCUGCUCCACUGGUUCUGUACAAUGGGAGAACUGUUCAAGUUCUCCUGCAAAGUGCACCAAGCAUGGCCUGUGUGCCUCCAGGUUCCGUGGGCUGGCUCUCAGAGUUCUCUUGGCUGCAGGGAGAAGUCAUGGCUGGGGCUCAGCUGGCCUCUGAUUGCCUGCAGGUGGCUUGUUUUCCAAAAUAUCCUUGGAACUGGAGCCUGCACACAUCUGCCUGAUGCUUCCCCAGAACAACUUCCCAGUUCCAGUGAUGCUCUUUGGAUUCCCAGUCCAAGGAGGCUGAACACAGGAAGGGAAAUUGGACCUGCAGUCCUUUGUUCCUUUUUGAGAAGGGUUGGGUUCUCCUCAGGUUUCAGUCUGCAGGGCACUGAUGGAAACCAGGGCACCUCUGUGAUACAGGUGGGCACAGAGCUGACCAGCAGCACUGGAGCAGGAUUUGGGAUUGCAGAAGGAAACCUGUCUCCUCUUUCCAAUUCCAGCACAGCUACACGGAUCUUGGAGGAAUGGUUAUCUUGGGCUGUGGGUGCACCCAGGAAUGAGGCCUGGAAGGGCUCAGAGCAGCAGCAGGGCAGAGGCAGAAAUGCCUGUCCAGGAGCAGGGCUUUUGUCCUGCCCUCCUCCAGGAGAAAGAAACAACCCCACAUGUGAAGCGUCCCUGAAAAAAGCAUUUUGUUCUCCAGUGUCUUCUCAUUUCCUUGGCAUUCACUGCACUCUGUGCACACAUCACCUGGGGAAUGUGCAUUGAGCUGGUGCACCUUGGAGAUGCUCAAACACUCAGGAAAAUCUGCAUUUUUAGAUGCUGAUUUCUGAACCGACACUCUCUGACAGAUUAUUCACUUUGGAUGUAUCAGUUACCUUUUUAAACUAUUGAUAAACCACCAGAGGAAAGAAUGUGCUUCGGGCUGGACUGGGGUGCAGGAGGGUCGUGAGAUUUGUUACGAAAUACGAGCACCAACCAUUUUCCUACAUCCUGCUGUGUGCGAGUGCAUCCUGGCAGAACUCCCUGCCUGAUUUUCAGGCUGGCUCUCCUGGCUCGCGGGAAGGUGGCUUAGCUAAAGCUGUAUUGUGUGUCCCCUUCACGGAGCUGAAAAGAGAAAAGAGACAAAGAAGGAAACAAAGAAUUAAGCGGUUGUGUCAUUAAGCCUUCAGCAUUUGCAGACAGGGCUUUGGCACAGCUUGGCUUCCCAGUGCUAAGCACUUGGGCUGGUUGUGGUCGUUCAGUGACUUAUUAAAGCCCUCAAAGCUUUUUCAGGAUUUCUUCUUUUGUUAACUUCUGUCACACAAAGAGUUUUUAAUGCUUUUCUCUCAUUUCCCGUAUUGUAGCCCUGCAAUAUUCAGAUUAGGUGAGUGGAAAGAGCAGUGAUUUCAUUAUGGAUGUGGAAGAAGAGUUUGUAGGAGUUCCCUGUGACAAACAGACAGUAAUUUUCCUGACAUGAGGGGAACAUUAGUGAAUCUGCUGUUACAUUUAGAGGUAACCAAACCUUUUCAGCUCAGGGAACCUUCUCAGCUCAGCUCCACAGUUGUUUUUGUGGGAGAUAAUUUGUCAUUUGAAAAGUGGAAAUUAGUCCACAAUAACCCACCCACAGUCCAAAGCAGCUCUGUGGCUUUUUAAAAUAGCAUUUUAACUCUUUCUGUGACGGGAAUUGGUGGGUUUUGUCUUUGGGACAGUGUCCACCCGCAUUAUCUUUUUUCAUUCAGACAAUUAAACACCAGUUUGCUGGGACAGAAGUGUAGCUAAAGGACUUAGCUGGUGCUUCAGUGGUUCUUCAUCAAUAAAUGCAGCUGGGAUGGAGGCAGAGCAGAUCACUUGAGUGAGCUGGAGAGGAGCACUCAGAGGGAAAUGGGAGCAGAGGCAGCCACGAGGAGCAGGCACUUGGAGAAAGGCUUUGGAGAGAGCUCCCAGGAAAAAUUAUCCCUUUUCAGCAGCUGCUGGAUGGCACAGCCCUGCUGGCAGGCCUCAGCACCUGCUCUGCUCAGGGCUGUGCUCAGCAGGGUCACUCUGUGCUCUGCUCCCAGGAGCAGCACUUGGACUGCAGUAGGAAUUCCAUCUGGACCUGCUUUUUCCUAACCUGAGCUGCCUGUGAGCUGAGCUUAGGCUUUAACCCCAGGACUCUCUAAAGCCCCACACUGAGGUCUCUCCCUGUUGGUAUUUGGGUGUUUCUGGCAGUUUAUGUUCUAACAAACAGCAUUAACGUGCUGUAAUACAUUGGAAUAAAAGUGCUUCAUUUCCUACUGGAAUUUCAUGCUGCUUGUGGACUUAGGAAUAGGAUUUCCAAGGGAUAGUGCUAAGCUCAGAGCCAGUUUCAAAGGGGCAGGCAGAAAGUCAUUAGCAGCACUUGGAUAAUAAAUUCUUCCUGUUCUGCAUCAGUGAGAUUUGUGAUCCCCUUUACAUAUAGUUUAUUAUGAUCAUUCAUUGGUUAUCUUUUUGGCACUAUUAAAGUAAUCUGGAAAAGUACAUUGUAUAUUAUGACCACUACUUUUA